GGCGCAAUGGUGAAGAGGAAACACGGGUGUCUGCAAAACACCUAUGCGCGGGUUCGAUUCCCGCUUGCGCCU
rnacentral:tRNA from 1 species